GACGAACGCUGGCGGCGUGCUUAACACAUGCAAGUCGAACGGAAAGGCCCUGCUUGCAGGGUACUCGAGUGGCGAACGGGUGAGUAACACGUGGGUGAUCUGCCCUCCACUUCGGGAUAAGCCUGGGAAACUGGGUCUAAUACCGGAUAGGAGCCAUUUUUAGUGUGUUGGUUGGAAAGUUUUUUCGGUGUAGGAUGAGCUGGCGGCCUAUCAGCUUGUUGGUGGGGUAAUGGCCUACCAAGGCGGCGACGGGUAGCCGGCCUGUGAGGGUGGACGGCCACACUGGGACUGAGGGGAGGCACAGACUCCUACGGGAGGCAGCAGUGGGGAAUAUUGCACCAUGGGCGCAAGCCUGAUGCAGCGAGGCCUCGUGGGGGAUGACGGCCUUCGGGUUGUAAACUCCUUUCGCUAGGGACGAAGCUUUUUGUGACGGUACCUAGAUAAGAAGCACCGGCUAACUACGUG
rnacentral:rRNA from 1 species